AAUUUAAUAUAUUAUUCAGGUACCUUUUAUUUAAGGUUGAAAAGGGAAAAUGGUGAAAAUCCAUUACAACCCCCGUUACUGUAAUCGGCUACAAAUCCAUAUUACCACUGGAAUUUAAAUUCUGGGAAGGAUGGAAGAGGAUGAUCCGCAAGUCAGGAGACCUGCCUGUUUAAUAGUAUGUUA
rnacentral:ncRNA from 2 species